ensembl:snRNA U2 U2 spliceosomal RNA
AUCACUUCUCAACCUUUUGGCUAAGAUCCAGUGUAAUAUCUCUUCUUAUCAGUUUAAUACCUGAUAUGUCCUCUAUCCGAGGGCAAUAUAUUAAAUGGAUUUUUGGAGCAGGGAGAUAGAAUAGUAGCUUGCUCUGUCCACUCCACACAUUGACUUGCUGCUGCAGUACCUCCAGGAAUGGUGCACUGCUC